GAUGAACGCUGGCGGCGUGCCUAAUACAUGCAAGUCGAGCGAAUGGAUUAAGAGCUUGCUCUUAUGAAGUUAGCGGCGGACGGGUGAGUAACACGUGGGUAACCUGCCCAUAAGACUGGGAUAACUCCGGGAAACCGGGGCUAAUACCGGAUAACAUUUUGAACCGCAUGGUUCGAAAUUGAAAGGCGGCUUCGGCUGUCACUUAUGGAUGGACCCGCGUCGCAUUAGCUAGUUGGUGAGGUAACGGCUCACCAAGGCAGCGAUGCGUAGCCGACAUGAGAGGGUGAUCGGCCACACUGGGAAUGAGACACGGCCCAGACUCCUACGGGAGGCAGCAGUAGGGAAUCUUCCGCAACGGACGAAAGUCUGACGGAGCAACGCCGCGUGAGUGAUGAAGGCUUUCGGGUCGUAAAACUCUGUUGUUAGGGAAGAACAAGUGCUAGUUGAAUAAGCUGGCACCUUGACGGUACCUAACCAGAAAGCCACGGCUAACUACGUGCCAGCAGCCGCGGUAA
rnacentral:rRNA from 1 species